UACGUAGGGGGCAAGCGUUAUUCGGAUUCACUGGGCGUAAAGGGUGCGCAGGCGGCCGUGUGUGUGAGGCGUGAAAGCCUGGAGCUUAACUCCAGAAUUGCACCUCAAACUACAUGGCUAGAGCAUUGGAGAGGGUAGCAGAAUUCAUGGUGUAGCAGUGAAAUGCGUAGAUAUCAAUGAGGAAUACCAGAGGCGAAGGCGGCUACCUGGACAAUUGCUGACGCUCAGGCACGAAAGCGUGGGGAGCAAAAGG
rnacentral:rRNA from 1 species